GACGAACCGUGCGAACGUUAUUCGGAAUCACUGGGCUUAAAGCGCGUGUAGGCGGCCAGGUAGGUCCGCUGUGAAAACUCGAGGCUCAACCUCGAGAUGUCGGCGGAAACCAUCUGGCUAGAGUCCGGAAGAGGAGAGCGGAAUUCCCGGUGUAGCGGUGAAAUGCGCAGAUAUCGGGAAGAACACCAAUAGCGAAGGCAGCUCGCUGGGACGUAACUGACACUGAGAUGCGAAAGCGUGGGGAGCAAACAGG
rnacentral:rRNA from 1 species